ACACUGUUGGUGAAACGGUAUCAUGCUUGCCUUCCACGGUCACGUAAUCAUAACUACGUAAGCAAGCGGCGUGGGUUCGACUCCCGCACAGUGUA